AUUGAACGCUGGCGGCAUGCCUUACACAUGCAAGCCGAACGGCAGCACGGGUGCUUGCACCUGGUGGCGAGUGGCGAACGGGUGAGUAAUACAUCGGAACAUGUCCUGUAGUGGGGGAUAGCCCGGCGAAAGCCGGAUUAAUACCGCAUACGAUCUACGGAUGAAAGCGGGGGACCUUCGGGCCUCGCGCUAUAGGGUUGGCCGAUAGCUGAUUAGCUAGUUGGUGGGGUAAAGGCCUACCAAGGCGACGAUCAGUAGCUGGUCUGAGAGGACGACCAGCCACACUGGGACUGAGACACGGCCCAGACUCCUACGGGAGGCAGCAGUGGGGAAUUUUGGACAAUGGGCGAAAGCCUGAUCCAGCAAUGCCGCGUGUGUGAAGAAGGCCUUCGGGUUGUAAAGCACUUUUGUCCGGAAAGAAAUCCUUGGCUCUAAUACAGUCGGGGGAUGACGGUACCGGAAGAAUAAGCACCGGCUAACUACGUG
rnacentral:rRNA from 1 species